AUUCCAGCUCCAAUAGCGUAUAUUAAAGUUGUUGCGGUUAAAAAGCUCGUAGUUGGAGUUCUGCCAGGUGGCGCUCGUCCGCCCAAGUGGUGUGUACAGGGCGUGCAUCUGGCCCUUUCAAGGGGAACGUGUCUGCACUUCAUUGUGUGGUGCGAGAUCCUUGACUUUUACUUUGAGGAAAUAAGAGUGUUCCAAGCAGGCUCUCGUCGUGCAUAGCUCAGCAUGGAAUAAUAGCAUUGGACUUCGUUUCUACUCUGUUGGUUGCAAGAAGCGAGGUAAUGAUGAAGUGGGACAGUUGGGGGCAUUAGUAUUUAAUUGUCAGAGGUGAAAUUCUUGGAUUUAUGAAAGACUAACUACUGCGAAAGCAUUUGCCAAGGAUGUUUUCAUUG
rnacentral:rRNA from 1 species